rnacentral:rRNA from 1 species
GGUUACCUACGGGGCGCAGCAGUAAGGAAUUUUCGUCAAUGGGCGCAAGCCUGAACGAGCAAUGCCGCGUGAACGAGGAAGGUCUUCGGAUCGUAAAGUUCUGUUGAAGGGGAAAAAGAGCGGAGAGAGGAAAUGAACUCCGAUUGAUAUUACCCUUCGAGGAAGUCACGGCUAACUACGUGCCAGCAGCCGCGGUAAUACGUAGGUGGCGAGCGUUAUCCGGAAUGAUUGGGCGUAAAGGGUGCGUAGGCGGCCUGCUAAGUCUGGAGUGAAAGGUACCGGCUCAACCGGUACA